GCAAACUGCAAACUGUGUCAAGUUUACACCUUGUGUUGUCAAAAUAUCUAGCUAAAUUCAGUCAUUUUUUUGGGGACUUCUUAUCAGGUACUAACCUUGUGUUUCAAGAGGUUUUCUCCAUUUUAUUGCUCAAUUUGUAGAGUGCAUUGCAUGUGUUAAUUUUCAGUUCUGGAGUCAAUUGAGAUCCAAAAUUAAAUUUCUCAAUAUUUGGAGAGAAAAGUAUGAUUUUGAUAAUGUUUCGUAUUAGGCUCUCAAAUAUGAAUGAAAUGCAGAUUUAAGUAUAGAUUAGGCUCUCUUCUUUCUCCUACCCUCAUAUCUCUCUAUCUCUCUCUCUCUCUCUCUCUCUCUCUCUCGCUCUUUGUGUGUGUAUAUAUAUAUAAUAUAAUUUAAUUGCUUGUCUUUAUACUAUGUAUUGAGAUAAAAAGAGUCAAAAUCAUCCCUAGCGUAAUUUAAUAAUAUUGUUGUAAUUUAAUUGCCUGUCUUUAUACUAUGUAUUCUUCUCCUCCUAGGGUUUACAAUCUUGAAUCUCCUCCUAGGGUUUGCCCCUUGCGAUUUCAAGCGGUAAAUUCUCUCUCUGAUCUUGAAGUUCAUAUUUAAUUAUAAAUUUGUUGUGAGAUUUGAAUUUGAAUCCAUGUGUUCAUUUGAUUUGAAUUUGAAUAUGAAUAUGAAUUUAUGUUGUCAAAUCGUGAAAUUCAAUCUGUGAUGCUAUGAUAUUGCUUCCUCAUGAAUUUACUUGAGUUAUUGUGUGCUUGUGAUCUCCAAGUUUAUAUUGAAGGCUUUGUUUAGUAUAUAGGGAAGGUUAAUCCUCAAUACUACUCAAGAAGACCCAUAACGAUUGCAGUAUUAGAAACAAUCAGAUUUACAUGUGUUUCCCUCCCUAAAUAUUUAGUCUAAUGGAAAUCAACCUACUUCAAUUAUUUUCCUUUUUUGUUUUUUGAAAUGUUACAGAGGUAUUAUUGUAUAUAUACACUGCAAGAUUGUUAUAAGGUAGUGUUAAACUUGUGAUAUGCUUCACAAUAGCCACAUGUUAGCUACAGGUUAAGACAGUUGCAGUCAAAGUCAGUGAGGAAGCUACUUAUGGCCUAAGGUCUCCAAAAUUCAUCCAAUAACCCUGGCUUGAUGAGUUAACUUAAUGUUUAUUUGCAGACAUCAGACUCGUUGCGACUGCGGAGAAGAUCUUGAGUUAUGUCCUAUCUGUCGAAGCACCAUCCAAACCUGGAUAAAACUCCAUUAAAUGGCAUCAAAUGUUGCAAAAACUUGCCAAUAAUGACAGCUCCCAAACUCGGGUUCAUCACAUCUUGUGCUAUGUACAUAUUUUCACUUUUUGAUUCACACGAGAUAUUUGUUUGUGCACUAUAUCUUUUGUAUUGGUGAGAUGUAUAAAUUUGUAAUAAGCUUUAAGAGUGCCUGAGGUCUUCUAUAGGAUCAUAAGUUCUGUACUAACUUAAAUUGGUUCAUUGACUUCUUUGUUUUUUGAUUCUGUUCAGUAUGAAACACUAUUUUCUCUGCCCUAUAAUUUUUGAUAGCACGUGUCAUAUUAAUACAAGGGUUGCUUUUGAUUAUGGCUCAAGUGAUUCGGCUUAUGUGGUUCUUUUAGGCUUUCACACCAGCCUUCAGCUCGACAUAGAGCGCCAAGUUUGUAAUGUUUGUAUACUACAUAAUUCAAUUAUGGUCAUGGUCAGGAGAAUUUUGCUUUCGGUUUUCUUUCAUAUUUUUAAAUUUUAUUUUAUUUUUUGUAAUAUUAAGCGAGUUGCGUGCAAGUACCCUACCAUUUCCCCUAGGGCUUGUGAGAAACAGCUUGUGUUUAUGCUACUGUACAUGAAAUCUUAUUAUAUUUCUGCCUGUGUCUGAAAUCGAUAGACUAUGACCUCUUUUGGCAAAGAGGUUAAAAGCAGCUUUUUUGGCGUUUCGAUUUUUUUGAGUCACAUCAAUUCUCUAUUUUUUUCAAAAAAAAAAUAAAAAAAAGUUAAAAAAUCAGUUUUUAACUCGCUUUUCAAAACAAGCCUAUGUACGAGGAGUAGCAGAACAAUUAGCCGGUUUGUGUCUUUGUGAGGAGGUUAGAGGCUGGGAAAGACAUGUCCAACAUGAAGUGAUGCUGUUUUACUUGUAAUAGUCUUCUUAAUUUGGUUGUUCUGUGUUACACUUCCAACAGGCUAGCAUCACAUUUCGUAUCAUCCCGGCUUGAAACUCUGCAGUUUGGGUUAUUUCUAGUGUAUGAUCUCCAGCUUCAGCUCCAGACCUGAUCAGCUAAGGUUUUUACUCAUCUUCUAAAAGGUCAACCAAACAGCCCUUCAUCUAAAGACUCAUUGCUAUGCUCACUAUUAUUUUUUUUCUUCUGGGAUCAAAGUGAUGCUCGCUCUGUUGAGUGCAACAUUUCAGACAGCAAAGUUCGGCCUCUUAAGGCUUGACAGGGAUCUCUGGUGUUACUCCGGUGCUUUCAGAGAAGGGCAGGAAAGCUCCCUGGUGAUACCACUUCUAUGUUGAAGGCUUGGUGGCAAUCACAUUCUAAGUGGCCGUACCCAACUGAGGAAGACAAGGCAAGAUUGGUCCAGGAAACAGGGUUGCAAUUGAAACAGAUAAAUAAUUGGUUCAUUAAUCAGAGGAAAAGGAAUUGGCACAGCAAUUCUUCCACUUCUACAGUCUUGAAGAGCAAGCGCAAAAGUAAUGCAGGUGACAACAGCGGUGAUCGUUUCAUGUGAGUGAAGGACAAAUUCGUAAUCCAAUCAACAAUAUAUUUCUUCAUGCCUCCACUCCAGUGAUAAUCCAGAAUCAGUGCAUGUAUCUACAUAACAAAAUAGGACAGUAUAGUGCUGCUUGUGAACAUUACAGCGUGCAAAUGAGAGAAUAGGUACACAGGUAUGUAUGCACAAAAGACUGCAGAUGGUAUACUGUAUGUGCUGUGAUAUCAUUAGGAAGUUCAAUUAUUAGAAUAUAUGACAAAACUGAGUUGGGUAGCAUCAUAUAUUGGCGGUUCAUGAUUUUGUUUACGUUUUACAUAUCUGUGAGUAAGAAUAGAGACGGGUUGUGGGUGUAUAGUGUAAUAAUCUCUUUCAUAGCAAUCAUAAAUUUUCUAGCAGUGUUUAGUAAUGUAGUCUCAAUAGUUGUUGCAUCUGUUGAAUGUAUUUAGUAGUUACAAUAUUUUUCUUCUUUCCCUUUUGGCAUAUUUUGACACUAUUAGAAGUCGUCAAGUGUCCUCUUAGUCCAAUUUUCCUUCAUUGUAACAGUUGUAUUUUUAGUUUGGGAAAAAAUUGAGGCAUCAUGUCUGA